AUUGAACGCUGGCGGCAUGCUUUACACAUGCAAGUCGAACGGGCCAGGGGGCAACUCCUGGUCAGUGGCGAACGGGUGAGUAAUACAUCGGAACGUACCCCGUAGUGGGGGAUAACGUCGGCGAAAGCCGUGCUAAUACCGCAUAUGCUCUACGGAGGAAAGCGGGGGACCGCAAGGCCUUGUGCUAUGGGAGCGGCCGAUGUCCGAUUAGCUAGUUGGUGGGGUAAUGGCCUACCAAGGCGACGAUCGGUAGCUGGUCUGAGAGGAUGAUCAGCCACACUGGGACUGAGACACGGCCCAGACUCCUACGGGAGGCAGCAGUGGGGAAUUUUGGACAAUGGGGCAACCCUGAUCCAGCCAUGCCGCGUGCGGGAAGAAGGGCCU
rnacentral:rRNA from 1 species